UGCGGCAGCGGCACUCUGCCGGAGCCAACAAUGUGCUGCUCGUGUGCGCAAGUGAGCGUCGCGGGAUUCCAUUGGUCCUCGUCUGCUGUGUUCAGUCCCCACAGCCAGUUGUGGAACUUCUACGUUCCUGUGGCAGGGCUGGUACUGACCGUAGGGCAACCGUAGAGUUCUACACAAAGUGCGGCUUGUUUGAUGGAUUCCGGGAGGGAUGGUGGUGGUUGUGUUUAGUUUGUUGUCCUUCCCCCGCGACUCCCGAUUAGCUCGGUUGGCUACGUACGGUGCGAAAGAAGUGAAUCAUACACGUUUAGAACCGGCGCAGAUGUUUCAUUAGAGGUGUCCACAUUUCGCACGCAGGGAGAGGUGGGGCCAUAACUGUGGCCGUAACUACAACCGAGGAGAUUCGAAGCUUCGUGUGGAGCGACAGGCCAGAUGUGGUUUGACCAUACUUCGCCAUGCUGGCCAGCGCAGGCUGGUGAAGGUGGGGCCAAGGACCGGUUCAGAUAUCACUUGCCACUGAUCGGGCCGGCAGUGAAAUGAAGUCCCGGCCGGAAAUUCCGAGUAAUCUGGUGAUGAGUACCGCCACCCGACUCGGCGGAGCCACGCAGCGCUCCCUCGGGGUGGAGGCUGGAGGGGUUCAGGGCUCGGCGUGGGGAGGGAGUGGGGAUCGCGGCGGAAGACUUCCAGCUGUGACAAGAAGCCCGCCAAGU